AUUGAACGCUGGCGGAAUGCUUUACACAUGCAAGUCGAACGAUGAAGCCUAGCUUGCUAGGUCGAUUAGUGGCGAACGGGUGAGUAAUAUAUCGGAACGUAUCCAAUAAUGGGGGAUAACUAGUCGAAAGAUUGGCUAAUACCGCAUACGUCCUACGGGAGAAAGCUGGGGAUCGUAAGACCUGGCGUUAAUGGAGCGGCCGAUAUCUGAUUAGCUAGUUGGUGAGGUAAAGGCUCACCAAGGCGACGAUCAGUAGCUGGUCUGAGAGGACGACCAGCCACACUGGAACUGAGACACGGUCCAGACUCCUACGGGAGGCAGCAGUGGGGAAUUUUGGACAAUGGGCGAAAGCCUGAUCCAGCCAUUCCGCGUGCAGGAUGAAGGCCCUCGGGUUGUAAACUGCUUUUGUACGGAACGAAAAGGCUCUGGUUAAUACCCGGGGCUCAUGACGGUACCGUAAGAAUAAGCACCGGCUAACUACGUGCCAGCCGCCGCAGUAAAAC
rnacentral:rRNA from 1 species